AGCGAACGCUGGCGGCAGGCCUAACACAUGCCAGUCGAACGAACCUUUCGGGGUUAGUGGCGGACGGGUGAGUAACACGUGGGAACGUUCCUUUAGGUUCGGAAUAACUCAGGGAAACUUGUGCUAAUACCGAAUGUGCCCUUCGGGGGAAAGAUUUAUCGCCUUUAGAGCGGCCCGCGUCUGAUUAGCUAGUUGGUUGAGGUAAUGGCUCACCAAGGCGACGAUCAGUAGCUGGUCUGAGAGGAUGAUCAGACACAUUGGGACUGAGACACGGCCCAAACUCUUACGGGAGGCAGCAGGAGGGAAUCUUGCGCAAUGGGCGAAAGCCUGACGCAGCCAGGCCGCGUGAAUGAGGAAGGUCUUAGGAUUGUAAAAUUCUUUCACCGGGGACGAUAAUGACGGUACCCGGAGAAGAAGCCCCGGCUAACUUCGUG
rnacentral:rRNA from 1 species